rnacentral:tRNA from 1 species
AGUGGAUCAAGGCAGUGGCGCCCCCAAUGGG